UCAGGUUAAACCUUUGGUAAAACAUAAAUCAAAGAUUGAAAGACACAUUUAACUUUAUUUUAUUAUCUAGUCUGACAGUCAGACACAACUGAAAAAUAGCAAAUAUGAAUCUAAAAAUGAAUAAUUGAUUUAAAAACUGCCCAAUUGCAGCCACAGUGGUUGUUUUUGGUGUGUACAGUGAAACAUAGUUUCAUUUUUCAGCUCGUACACACGUUUGUUUUCACUCUGGUCCAAACACAGCUUAACUGGCAGAGCUAAAGCUUCAUGUUUCCAUGACGACUGAUCGGAAAAAGACGCGCUUGAUGUCAUGUUUAUGUGACUCCCGAUUGUAAAAAUGAGUCUCUAAAGUAAUGCUAAACUUUAACAACAGAGGUACACAGGUUAUUUGUUGCGCUGCUCAUUUCGUUUAGUAAACGGAGCACUCCAGUUCGACUGUAGCUGCGCUAACCGAGCUAACGGAGCUAACGACGUAUCAGUCAAGUAUCAGUAUCAGAAAGUAUCAGUCUCCUUCUCGUCGCUCAAUGCUCCACUAACUAGACAAAACAGCGCUGCACGUGUGUCUACAGGGGAUUGCAUCUUUAUAAAUUGUCUUUUUUAAGAUUUGUAGAAAAUUUUAGUAUUUAAUUCAUCAUGAAUGAUCUCUCAAACAUUGAGCUUUUGUCAAUAAAAAAAAAAUGGUGCUCCAAAAGCUCUCAUUAUCAUGGAAAACUGUUUACAAGUGUUGUUGUGCGCGCGUAACGUAACAUUUACGUUACGUGACUAUCCAAUAGGUAGAUCCCUCGGCGACAGAGACGGACAGGUCAGGAAAUCCCAGGAAUCAGGAGUCUCCUCAAGGUUUACUAUUUGAGCUAGAUGGAUACCCGUUACAGCAAACGUGGUGGGAAGGCUGUGGAAAAUAAUGAAGCUAAGCCUAUGCUACAAGCUGUGGAGGAGGACUUGGCACAAUAAUUUGAAGAGGUCCCUAUUCAGCCAAAGAAAAGAAAGCCAAAGAAAUAUUCCCAGAAGAAACCAAUGUCUCCAACAGGGCCAUUGGAGUUGGCCAAACUGAAGGAACAAACCAAGAUGGAUCGACAGAAGAUUGAACACCUUGAGGAGCGCAUUAAUUACCUGGAGGAGGCCAACAGGGACCUGAAAGCUGACAAGGACUCCCUACUUUCCCAAAUUAAGGAAGCCCCCAGCAUGCCCUCAUCUACUGGGAAAGGUACAAAUGCACUACAAUUAACAUUUAUGCAGUACCAGAUGUUCAAGGAACUUGUGGAGGAGAAAUUGAAAUAGGCUGGGUUUUCAGGCACAGAGUGUAAGGAUAUAUUAUUAUAUACAAUUGUUUUUUUGUUACACACCUGAGAUGUCUAUUUUCCCAAGCCCUUCCAAAAUGUUUCCUAUAUGACCUGAUAAAUCUCUUAUGAUGGCAUUGCUACACAGAAAAUGAUAUAAACUUUUGCCCAAGCUAGUAAUGUUAGCCACUGAGAUAGAGAAGAGCCAUCAUUGUAUGCUACAGCUAAUGCUCUACUAACAUGUUAACAGACACACACUCAAACUGAUG